GCCACAGUGAAAAAGAAAAAAGAGAAAAACGGGUAGUGAAUUUCUGUUUUGGGGUGGAGCCGGGUCACAUGAAGCACGUGGCCCUGGGGGACUGGAGGGAGACAGACGCUUGCAUUAAAUGCCGAGCUGGGGGCAGGGCCGCCACACAGGCAGCUGGUCGUGCUUUUCCUGCCCAGACCUGGCUGGACCGGAGCCCACAGGGGAACCCUACCUGCCUCGCUUAGAGCGCACUUUCCAGCUUGUGGCUGUCAUUCCCACCUACGGGGCCUCUUCUUGACGGACGUCCCUGCUUGUGAUGACCUCUAUCUCCAGAUGCCUGUGUUCUGUCACCAGAUGUCUCAAGCAUACCCAGCUCUCCUUUUCCUAUGAGUAUAAAUCAAUAAAUACAGGAUAUACUCAGUGCCUUUAGUCUUUGCUGCCCAGAGCAUCUUAGACUAACCAAGACCCAGC
rnacentral:lncRNA from 1 species